rnacentral:rRNA from 1 species
UUAAAAAGCUCGUAGUCGGAUUUUGGCUGAGAACGGUCGGUCCGCCGUUAGGUGUGCACUGACUGGUCUCAGCUUCCUGGUGAGGAGGUGUGCUUCAUCGCCACUUAGUCACCGUGGUUACUUUGAAAAAAUUAGAGUGUUCAAAGCGGGCUUACGCUUGAAUAUAUUAGCAUGGAAUAACACCAUAGGACUCCUGUCCUAUUUCGUUGGUCUCGGGACGGGAGUAAUGAUUAAGAGGAACAGUUGGGGGCAUUCGUAUUUCAUUGUCAGAGGUGAAAUUCUUGGAUUUAUGAAAGACGAACUUCUGCGAAAGCAUUUGCCAAGGAUGUUUUCAUUGAUCAAGAACGAAAGUGGGGGGCUCGAAGAUGAUUAGAUACCAUCCUAGUCUCACCCAUAAACGAUACCGACUAGGGAUUGGCGGAUGUUAAUUGAUGACUCGCCAGCACCUUAUGAGAAAUCAAAGUUUUUGGGUCCGGGGGGGAGU